GAUCAUUAAUUUGUGUAUAAACGAUUUUAGGGAGUGUAAUAAUAAUAACGUAUAACAUUUAUAAGUUAAUAAUACGAUUAGAAAAUAAUAAUCAACAGGACCUUUUUCGCAAUAGCAUUAUUCCAGCUCAGGAAACAGACUAAAGUAUUCCUGAUAAAUGCUGCACUACGGGAUAAUACUUAUUUAACAUGGUGGAUCAGUAUUCAAUUGUUUCUGUUCCUUUUUGCGUGUAACGGGCCUAAUCUUCAGUCACGACAGUGGCAGCACUUCCAUCUGUCUAGCAGCUACGGUAAUGCCGGAGCCGGAAUGGCAGUACCACACUGCAACGUACGACAGUCCCGCCAUCUACGACAUGUUGUAUGACACUUAUGGCGGAUUAUGUCGCGUUGUUGCGACCUAUAGUUUUGGACUUCUUGAACGACGACAGCGCCACUGUGUGCUCUCUCUUAAAUAGAUGUAUUCUUUUCUAAAUAGUUCUUAAUUCUGUUACUAUAAGGUUAAAAAGAUUAAUAUUUAUGGAGCAAAUUUUAUCAUUCUGUGCGUUAAAAGUAUAAGCUAAUGUAUUUUAUCAAAUUAAUAAUUUUCAGAUUUUCCGUAAAAGCCAUGGAGUGAUGCUAGCAAAUUGUGUAAGGAGUGAAGUUGCUUUUGAUUACUAAUAGUGUUAUUCUAAAAUUAUAUUUAUGUAGUUUAUGAUUCGAAUCGUUUGUCCAAUUUUAAUAUUGAAGUUUACACUCCAUAUUUAGUUAGUAUUUUAGAUUUUAGUUUGUUUUGACUUUUCAAUUUGAAAUUGUAAAUUAUAUUGCAUAUAUUGUAGGUACAUAAUAAUAUUGUUUGAGAGUUGUUCUUUUUCUCUAAUUAUUAGUGAUAUAUGCGCGUGUAUGUAUAUAAUUUGUUGAAUUGCACAAGUGUCACAUGUAUGCGUAUCCUGCCUUCAAUAAAGUACUUCGAUGGAAUUAUUAGAUAAGUGAUUUAUUAUGUUUGUAGCAGAUGAAUUUUUCUAUCAGCCUCUUGACUAGUAAAGUAUAUUAUUUUUAAUUUAUUAAAAUUAUUAUUUAUCUUGUAUAUAAAUGAUUUUGUUGAAUUUUAUUGCAAAGUAUAAUGUAAUUUUUCAACGCAAUAAUGAUUGUUAUUUAUGACUGUUAUAAUUUGCUAUGUAUAAUCUAAUUACGAUUUAAUUAAUGUAUACAAUGCAUAAAUUACAAUUUAGUAAAAGUAACUUGUUCAAUAUUUGUUUACAAAGUCGAUUCUGUGAUGCAGUAACCAUAUAUCAUUGAGUUAAUGAUUUACAUUUUUAUAUUUUAUAUGUAUUUUUAUAAUGAGUGUUUAAUAUAGUUAGAGUGAAAACAAUUCAUAUUUUCUUAAGAUUUAAGGUUAUGCAGAGGGAUAAAAUAUCAAAGUUAUGUAUAUAUAGAUAUACAUAUGCUCAGUGAUGGCUUAGAAAAUAGUAUAUUGAACAUAUAUAGUCAUUGUACAAGUAUUUCAUAGCAGCAAGUGUGAAAAGUUUAGUUUUUCAAGAAUUUAGUAUGGGUAUUGUGAAAAAAUGUCAGUUUUUACCUUUAUUGGUCUACAAAAGUAUAUCUAAAAAGAUGCAUAAACAUGGUGAUCAUGUAGUAUACAGUAUAUUUAAUAUACAUAUUGAAUUUUACUGAAAAAAGUUGUUUCGAGCAAGUAUGUUUUGUAGUAUAAGGUCACUUCUUAUGAACAUUAGGUCCUGCGCACGGACGGAAAGUCAAUUAUUGGAGAAUGAGGCUUCGCUACUAGAAAGAUUUUUUUCAAUUGGGUAUUUAGAAUUUUUAAAUACUGUGAAUUUGUUCAGAAUUUAAUUUUCUACAAAAUAGCCAGAAUACUUUUAUGAAAAAACCUUUUUGUAAAAAAUGGCUCAGAAAGAAUUAAAAAAAAAAACACAGUUUUGGUCAAAUCCAAUAGGCAUUCGCCCUGAAUAUAUGACGUUUCUUUGAAACUCUUUAUACAGGGCGAGUGCCUAAAAACGAACACAAACCACAAGUAUAUCAUUACAAAUUAGCUAAUGGAAGGUAAAAUUUUAAUUUUUUUAAACUUGACUUAAAUUUGACAAAAUUUAUUUUCUAAAGUACUUAUCCUAUCUUACUCUAUUUCACAUCAUUCUUCUGGUGGAAGGACGAUUCGUAAAUCUAGGCUGUGCAACAGGACUUUCAAGUUUUGUUAUGAGCAAUUACUUGACAAACCAAACACUUGCUCAAAUCGAAUUACGGACUAAAGCAGGAGCUUACUCUGUAGGUGUCUACACGCUACCCAAAAAGGCUGGACGAAGAAGAAAGCUGCUUUACAUUGUGAUCAUGUGGGUGUAAAAUUGAUAAAACUGAGACAAAGUCAAGCUUAAUACUUAGAUAUCCUUGAUGUUGAGGGGCCAUUUAAGUCAGGUCAUUACAGUUAUUACAAUAAAAAAAGCUACACUACUAGUUUUUGCAAAGGUAUUUUCUGAGACAUCGCUUAGCGUUGUACCUAAAAUAGUAUCCUUCUGUGUGGCUGGUGCUGAUUUUAAAAUAAGAUUGUAUAAUACGGAUUUAAACGAGAGUAAUAUAUCUGAGGCAUUGGAAGGUCAUAAAGCUUAUGCAAAUGAUAUUUGCUAUGAUCCUGAUGGUGAAUUUCUUGUAUCUGUCUCCGAUGAUCAUACAUGCAAACUUUGGGCAAUUAAACAGGAUCAAAAUUCAUUUUAACUUUUCCACUAACUGCUUCAGGAAUGACUGUGCGACAGCACACUGAAGAAACUGGAAUGCUAUUAGUAGCCGUAAAAAAGGACAUUAUUCUCAUGUACAAUGUCAGAAGUCAGCAAGCAAUUAUGUCAAUGGAUGCUGCAACUAUUCCAUUAUUGACUGCUGAUUGGAGUCUUAAUCCUUUAAAAGUUCUUUGUGUAGAUUCAGCAGAGGUUAUAUUAUGGGAUACGUCGAGGCAAAGACGAUGGUAAAACGGACUCUUCACCUGGAAGGUUUACUGAUGAUGAAAUUUUCUCCCUCUAACGAAAACCUCGUAGGUAGUAUAGGACGACGCGACAAUAUUUUAAAAGUUGUAAAUUUAAGUUGUUGACGUGUUGUGCUACUCGGUGCACCCGUCCCUAAGUAAGGGGCUGUCUAUGGUAUGACAGAGAUUUCUGCAGAUACGGCCAAUUGUUCCGACAUCAGCACGUAAGACGAGUGUUAUGUAUGACUUAUUUGGCAGGUUUCUGCCCUGAUGGAUCUACUUGUAAAUUUAUGCAUCUAAGAUUUGAGUUACCAGCUAACCAGGAUAUGCAGCCCAAGGAAGACAAGGAAGUGUUGAUCAUCUAUCUGUCAGUUUUGUGGUGAAACUGGGCACAAAGCAAUCUACUUUAACAAGAUACUUUCUGAUAUGAGCAAACAACAUGCACGCAAGGUGAUGAAUAAUGAAUCGUGAGUAUAUUGCGGAGGAGGCGGAGGUGGUGGUGAUCCUCACCGACGAAUCAAUAUGCAUAAUUGGCCACAUAACAACAUACCUCGUGGACCGCAAUACCUCUGGAAGAAGCCAUAGGCUACAAGUGCAUUGAAAAAGGUCAUUAUGUACAUCUCCCCUACUUAAGUACGAUAAACAAACAAAAUGAACAAAACAAUGUUUCCAAUUGGAAGCCUACUAUCUAAUAUGCAAAUUUCUUAAAAGAGAGGAAGAGAAAGGAAUUGCUAUUAAAUAGGAGAACGAGGCUCAGCAAACUCAGGAGGAUGAAGUAGUCUGUAUUUUAGAUGACGAGGAUAUCCAAGUUGUCAACUGUUUUUUUGUGAACAAAAAGAUGAAAAAUGAAAGUAUCCACAUGUGCAUUCGGGUCGUACUUUGAGGGGCAAACACGAGAAGAUGAAGUUCAUAGUUCUGGGUCGCUCUAUAUUGUUGAAUAUAAUUUAGUAAAAUGCAUGGAAUGGAAACUUUUGAAUUGGUGUAAGGAGUCAAGUUAAAACAAUUUUGAAGUCUACUCGAAUGUUAUACACUAGUUGAUUUGCGUUGUGAGUAACUUUUAGAUUUGUAUAAAGAAUCUAAAUAAACUGUACAUAAUAAAAAUAUUUAAACCAAUAAAAAUAUUUGAACCAACAUUUAUGUGUUUCUCUUAUUUAUUUGUAACAGGUUGCUUAUAAAAAUCUGUACAGUAACUUUGUAGGUGAACCGGUUUGCAUUUUUUAAACUUACUCUUUAAAUAAUAUGUGGAUAUUAAAUUACUUUAACCUUUUCAUUAUCUUUGCAAUAUGUUCACUUGAUAAGGUUUUUCUAAAAAAUAGAGUUUUUUGGCGCAUUUAUUAAACGAAUAAUCACUUAUAGUUAAUAAGAUUUUGCCUAAAUCAGUCCAAAGCUCAGAUAAAUCUGUUAAAAAUAAUAAACACAACACCUGCACAGUGAUUCUAGGAAAAUGUAUUACUUUCCACUACAAUCUUACACAUUCAAAUUAACUUAGAGAUGUAUUACAACAAAAAUAGAAAAAAUAUUUCUUUUAAUUAUUUAACUAACUUAGUUUGUAUUUCGUGUCGUAGAAUCGGGCGCCUCUUUAGAUAAGUUUGAUAAACCUGCUGUAAGAACUAUAUUAUUAUCUAUAUUAGUCUCAGAUUCAUUGGUGGGCUGCGUUACAGUUGACGAGUUUUUCUCAAUACCAAUACGUUUCUAAGACUGAGCUCUUCCAUCUCCCAAGUUUUGUGGCUCAUUGAAUAAUAUAUUCAUAUUCUCAGGAUUCGUGGGCGGUUGGGUGAGACCCAUUUCACUAUGUGAACUGCUGAUUUGAUUUUAAUCACUGAGAUGCUGAACAUUCUUUCGCCCAUAGUACUGAGGUACAAGAUAGUACUGGUUACCCCAUGGAUAUUUUGGAGCAGGAGUGUUGAUCGUUAAGUUGCACAAGUUGUAAGUACGUUCGGGUGCUGGAGCAGGUGUGUAGCCAGUGCGUUGAAAUCCUGGAGCACGAGUGUAGCCACUGCGUUGAAAUCCUGGAGUAGGUGUGUAGCCACUGCGUUGAAAUCCUGGAGCAGAAGUGUAGCCACUGCGAGUGUAGGCACUGGCCUGGGAUUAUGGACGAGGAGAGUACGCACUGCGUUGUGAAGA